GGAGGAGUGGCAGAGCUGGUUGAAUGCACCGGUCUUGAAAACCGGCGUGCGAGAAAUCGUACCGGGGGUUCGAAUCCCUCCUCCUCCG
rnacentral:tRNA from 1 species